GAGUUUGAUCAUGGCUCAGAACGUACGCUGGCGGCACGCCUAACACAUGCAAGUCGAACGAAGUAGCAAUACUUAGUGGCAGACGGGUGAGUAACAUGUAGGUAUCUGCCCUUUGGCCUGGAAUAACACGAGGAAACUUGUGCUAAUACCGGAUAAGUCUUUACGGAGAAAGCUUUAUGCACCAUUGGAUGAGCCUGCACUUGAUUAGUUUGUUGGUGGGGUAAUGGCCUACCAAGACUGUGAUCAAUAGCUGAUUUGAGAGGAUGAUCAGCCACAUUGGGACUGAGACACGGCCCAAACUCCUACGGGAGGCAGCAGUGGGGAAUCUUGCACAAUGGAGGAAACUCUGAUGCAGCGAUGCCGCGUGAGUGAAGAAGGCCCUUGGGUUGUAAAGCUCUUUCGUCGGGGAAGAAAAUGACUGUACCCGAAUAAGAAGGUCCGGCUAACUUCGUGCCAGCAGCCGCGGUAAUACGAAGGGACCUAGCGUAGUUCGGAAUUACUGGGCUUAAAGAGUUCGUAGGUGGUUGAAAAAGUUAGUGGUGAAAUCCCAGAGCUUAACUCUGGAACUGCCAUUAAAACUUUUCAGCUAGAGUAUGAUAGAGGAAAGCAGAAUUUCUAGUGUAGAGGUGAAAUUCGUAGAUAUUAGAAAGAAUACCAAUUGCGAAGGCAGCUUUCUGGAUCAUUACUGACACUGAGGAACGAAAGCAUGGGUAGCGAAGAGGAUUAGAUACCCUCGUAGUCCAUGCCGUAAACGAUGUGUGUUAGACGUUGGAAAUUUAUUUUCAGUGUCGCAGGAAAACCGAUAAACACACCGCCUGGGGAGUACGACCGCAAGUUAAAACUCAAAUGAAUUGACGGGGACCCGCACAAGUAGUGGAGCAUGUGGUUUAAUUCGAAGAUACGCGCAGAACCUUACCAACACUUGACAUGUUUCGUCGCGACUCUAAGAAGAUUAGAGCU
rnacentral:rRNA from 1 species